rnacentral:rRNA from 1 species
GUGGCGGACGGGUGAGUAACACGUGGGAGACGUGCCUUUAGGUUCGGAAUAACUCAGGGAAACGUUGUGCUAAUACCGAAUGUGCCCUUCGGGGGAAAGAUUUAUCGCCUUUAGAGCGGCCCGCGUCUGAUUAGCUAGUUGGUGAGGUAAAGGCUCACCAAGGCGACGAUCAGUAGCUGGUCUGAGAGGAUGAUCAGCCACAUUGGGACUGAGACACGGCCCAAACUCCUACGGGAGGCAGCAGUGGGGAAUCUUGCGCAAUGGGCGAAAGCCUGACGCAGCCAUGCCGCGUGAAUGAUGAAGGUCUUAGGAUUGUAAAAUUCUUUCACCGGGGACGAUAAUGACGGUACCCGGAGAAGAAGCCCCGGCUAACUUCGUGCCAGCAGCCGCGGUAAUACGAAGGGGGCUAGCGUUGCUCGGAAUUACUGGGCGUAAAGGGAGCGUAGGCGGACAUUUAAGUCAGGGGUGAAAUCCCGGGGCUCAACCUCGGAAUUGCCUUUGAUACUGGGUGUCUUGAGUGUG